CUCCUCUCAGGGUCGCACCUGGAGAGUUUCCAGUACUCUACCAGUCUCAUUUAUGGGAGGGAGAGUCAAGCAGAGGCCUACUCAGUCCAUUCCUAGCUUGGCCAGUGGCUGGUGAGUGGAAGGCAAUCUGCUACAAAU
rfam:Ornithorhynchus anatinus chromosome 3, whole genome shotgun sequence.